GGUUGAUCCUGCCGGAGGUUACUGCUAUUGGAAUCCGAUUAAGCCAUGCGAGUCGAUCGGGUCAGACCCGAGGCGCACUGCUCAGUAACACGUGGAGAAUCUGCCCUUAGGUGAGGAAUAACCUCGGGAAACUGAGAAUAAUACCUCAUAGGUUAUGGAUGCUGGAAUGCUUCAUAGCCAAAAGCCCCGGCGCCUAAGGAUGACUCUGCGGACUAUCAGGUAGUAGUCAGGGUAACGACCUGACUAGCCUACGACGGAUACGGGGUGUGAGAGCACUAGCCCGGAGAUGGAUUCUGAGACACGAAUCCAGGCCCUACGGGGUGCAGCAGGCGCGAAACUUCCGCAAUGCUCGCCAGAGUGACGGAGGGAUUCCAAGUGCCUAUGCUAUGCGUAGGCUGUU
rnacentral:rRNA from 1 species